UCAAAGAUUAAGCCAUGCAUGUCCAAGUACAAGCUCGUCCCGAGCGAAACUGCGGAUGGCUCAUUAAAUCAGUUAUGGUUCAUUGGAUCGAGUACCCCCCGACAUGGAUAACUGUGGUAAUUCUAGAGCUAAUACAUGCGUCCAAGCGCCGACCUCCAGAAGGCGUGCUUUUAUUAGGAACAAGACCAGCCCGGCCUCGGCCGGCAACACUGGUGAACUCUGGAUAACACAGCCGAUCGCACGGUCUUUGCACCGGCGACGGAUCCUUCGAAUGUCUGCCCUAUCAACUUUCGAUGGUACGUUAUGCGCCUACCAUGGUCGUCACGGGUAACGGAGAAUCAGGGUUCGAUUCCGGAGAGGGAGCCUGAGAAACGGCUACCACAUCCAAGGAAGGCAGCAGGCGCGCAAAUUACCCACUCCCGACACGGGGAGGUAGUGACGAAAAAUAACAAUACAGGACUCUUUCGAGGCCCUGUAAUUGGAAUGAGUACACUUUAAAUCCUUUAACGAGGAUCCACUG
rnacentral:rRNA from 1 species